rnacentral:lncRNA from 12 species
AUGCUCUACGGUGAUGUGCAAUAUUGUGUGUGUGUGUGCAUGUGUGUGCAGGACCACACAAUCCUGAUGGGGAGGCCCCAGGUUCAGGUGAGAGCCGCCCGGACCCUCGGAGAGCAACAACCCCCUAUGCAGCGGCCCAGAGACAACAAGCUGUUUGGGCGAGGUCACACAGCACCAACGACGGGCCAGUGCUGGGACUUCCUUCAGCUGCUGCAGUCGGCACAGAGCUGGACCGCGGCCAGCAGCUCAGCCCAGAAGCUCGGACUCCAGCAAGUUCCCUCCCAGAGCCGCGGACCGUCCGCUCCAAGACGCGCCCACCCGGGGCAGCCGGGGGCGCGUGGCACCUGGCCGUGCUCGUGUCAGCCAAGGGAUGUUGCAACACUCAAAGAGCAUGGAACUGGCCAGGCCUGUGCUUGAAACUCUGCCUGGCUGGAUGACUCGCCUCGACUCCCGCAUCUCUAUGAUGGGAAUAUUAUAGGACCCCUCUCUUCCAGGAGCCGUGAGGAUUAAGUGAGACGAGGGAUGUGACCACACUUAACAGGCUCUGGCACCUUCUCUCUGUCUCAUUAAACACAUGCUCUAAAGCUCUAAAGUUUGUUUGACGGGAUCAAUGCAAUUAUCCAUAUAUAGCUUCCAACAGAAUCCAUCUCUGGGUUAAUGGCUCCAGAUUUUUCCAUAAACAUCUCCCAGUACAUUCUCAUAACGCAUUCGUGUUUUUUCCCAGUUUUGCAGGAGCCUGUUUAUUCAGAAACCCCCUUCUGGGGAAGCACACAAAUUAGGAGAAGGAACCCCAGUCCUAGGGAUGCAGGCUCUGGGUCUCCCCAUUCUUCUCAGCUUAAUUCCCCCACCCUGGAG